ACAGCAGCCGCCGCGGUAAUACGAAGGGGGCUAGCGUUGUUCGGAUUUACUGGGCGUAAAGCGCACGUAGGCGGACUUUUAAGUCAGGGGUGAAAUCCCGGGGCUCAACCCCGGAACUGCCUUUGAUACUGGAAGUCUUGAGUAUGGUAGAGGUGAGUGGAAUUCCGAGUGUAGAGGUGAAAUUCGUAGAUAUUCGGAGGAACACCAGUGGCGAAGGCGGCUCACUGGACCAUUACUGACGCUGAGGUGCGAAAGCGUGGGGAGCAAACAGGAUUAGAUACCCCUGUAGUCCCUGUCUCUUAUAC
rnacentral:rRNA from 1 species